GGGCGGGCCGGGGGCGGACCCGGCGCUGAGUCAGCGCCCAGGCGGCUCCUCCGGCCCCGAGCACGGAGCCGCCUUUGUUGUCGGGUUCCCUCAGGGCGAGGGGGAGACGAGGGGGAAAGCCCGAAAGAGUGAGGGGGUCAAAGGGGGUGGUCCCCCAAGCCGGCAGGAGGCUGCCCCUGGCCCCCCGCGCUGAGGGGGGGAGAGGGGACGGACCGCCGUGGGCAGCGGUCGCGGUGGUUUUGGGGCACAUGCUGAGGUGGUGAGGUCCCUCAGUGGCCUCCUUCACCUGCAGGAGUGACUCUGCUUCCCUCAGGAGUCUCCAACUGCUUUUUUUCACUUCCCCGUCUUCAUUUCUUCUCCCUCUCUCUUGUCCCAAACCCCUAAAACUCAACCUUGUCCCCUAUGGAUAUUCCCACUAAAUAAGAAUCAAGAACCCCAGUCUGUGCAUGAACCCAUGCAAACACAAUUCACUGGCAGAAGAAAGGCCAGGCAAUCACAGCAGUUAGUCCGAAAUGGUGAGACGUGCCUCAAAAUCUGUUUCAUUGCAAGUAAUAAACGAUGCAGGCAUGACAGAAUCUGGACCGUAACAUAGCGUGCGGAGGCUUUGGGAUUAUUCUGAGUUUCUUCGGAGCAGAUGACUCGCAUCACAGCAAAGUGACAGAAGCGUCUUGAAUCGCCCCAGGGAUGGAAAACUUCUGGGCCCAUCAGACUGGAGCUCGAGGAGCAUUCAGCAUAGUUUGGGCUCUGGAGACUCCUCCAAGACCCCCAGCCCCAAGAAGUCCUUGUAGGAAGGAUGUUGGUGCUCAGCAGGUGGUGCUAUUUCCACUGACUCUGUCCUAAAUAAUCCACUGCCCCAGCUUGUCCUGGGGAGUUAGUGGGUACGGAGAAAUACAUUUUCUGUGAGGGAAAGCUGAAAUCGUGAGUGCUGGUGUGUAUUAAAAGUCUGCUCAGGUCUUUGUGUGUGGCUGUUCUUUCACUAGGAAGAAAAAAAGGCAGCUGCAAAGUGCCUGUGUGAAACAUAGCAAAUGGAUGACAACCAGAGUGUGGGUGGCCACUAUCAGUUCUGGUUCAAUCUAAGUCUGCUGCCAAGUGCCAACGUAGGCAAUCAGAGCUAUGCUGUGGACAAAUUAGAUGUUACAAAAUCCACUACACUCCUCAAAAAGUCACUAGCAGCUCCACAAGUUGGGACACCCAUUGGUGGUGUCCACGUUCACCCUUUCAGCCCUGAUUAUGACUUGCCUCAUGCCCCAGGUGACUGAAGAUAGCUGUGAGAUACAUUUGUUCCUGUAUGUGGAGCCCAUCGAUACUACACAGAGAAAAACCUCAUAAAAAUUGAUUAUUUUUUAUUAAAUGCAGUAAAAUAAUGUGCCUAGAAGGGUGAGGGAGUAUAAAUAUUGAAUAGUUCCCUGUUCUGUGAACAACCCUCUGUUUGAAGCAAGCAGGGAAGGAAA